rnacentral:lncRNA from 1 species
CAGGCAGCUCUUGUCAAUGGGAUAUCCAUGUUUUUUGAAUAUAAAUAUGAGCAAUGCUGGUUCAUGCACUACUCUCCAAUAUUAAGAAUGCAUUGUAAGAAGUGUGUCUCCUCAAAAUAAAGCGUGGGCCCACAACAGCAAUCAAGGAG